CCUACGGGAGGCAGCAGUGGGGAAUAUUGCACAAUGGGGGAAACCCUGAUGCAGCGACGCCGCGUGAGUGAAGAAGUAUUUCGGUAUGUAAAGCUCUAUCAGCAGGGAAGAACAUGACGGUACCUGACUAAGAAGCCCCGGCUAACUACGUGCCAGCAGCCGCGGUAAUACGUAGGGGGCAAGCGUUAUCCGGAUUUACUGGGUGUAAAGGGAGCGUAGACGGCAGAGCAAGUCUGAAGUGAAAGCCCGCGGCCCAACUGCGGGACUGCUUUGGAAACUGCCCGGCUAGAGUGCUGGAGAGGUAAGCGGAAUUCCUAGUGUAGCGGUGAAAUGCGUAGAUAUUAGGAGGAACACCAGUGGCGAAGGCGGCUUACUGGACAGUAACUGACGUUGAGGCUCGAAAGCGUGGGGAGCAAACAGGAUUAGAUACCCCAGUAG
rnacentral:rRNA from 1 species